rnacentral:misc_RNA from 1 species
AAUGAUAUAUUUGUAAUUAGACAUUAUAAUUAACAUUCGCAUAAUUAUAUACAUUUAUUAUAAAUAAUAAAUGUAGAUUAUUGAAACGCAUAAUUUAAUGUAAUGUACAUUUUUUAUUAUUUUAUGCUCAUUAUUAUCCAUUUUAAAAUCAAGAAAUGGUCGACAAUGGUCACAACAAAAUCUUAGUAUUUAAAUAAUAUUUCUUAUAUACAUUUUCUGAUUCUUUGAACUGCAUGCCGUUACUUUUGAUUUUAACUAUGUUGCCUCGCAUUUAUUGUUAAUAAAUAUCGAUUCAUUUAUUUAAAAAAUAAUAAACACAACAAUUACAACUAUGAGCAACAAUUACGUUAUUGUUAUCUUUGUAAUGUUGGCUUAUGCAUAUGCCCGUUUUGAAAAUUUUACAUUGAACUUUAUUGUAAAAUAAUUUCAAAAAUUUAAACUUUACAUAUGUGUAUUACUUUAAAUUUAUAUUUACUAAACACCAUAGAUGCGCGCUUCGUGCGCGCUAUUUAUCUUUUAAUUUUUUACUUUUUAAAAUUAAACUACAAUGAUAAUUGUAUAGAUAACUAUCUAUAUAAAUUUGACAGCUAUCAAAAUUCAUUUGCAAUGACAAUUACUCUCGUUAUUAAUUGACAAAUUUAUUAAAUUAAUUAAAAAAAUAGUUAUUUAAACACAAGUGUAAAAAUACUUUUUAUUCUAUUGUAUUUUUUAUUUUACUAUUAUUAUAUUUUACUGUUUAGUUGUACCGAUUUUUCUUCUUAUCUAUAAAAAUAUCUUUGUAGAAUGAAUAUUAUGAUUUCGACAAUAUGAGUUUAUAUAAAUAUAGAAAGACUAAAAAAGCGAGGUAAAAGUACUACUAAAAGUAUCAGCGAUGUCUAUAGUUAGAGAAAGAUCUAAGUCACACACAUGAAAAAUUUAAAUAUCUAGAGUUUAUUACAGGACAUGUUCACAUUAAUAUUACAUAACGCUAGAUAUCAUAUAAUUAUCCGUUAAAUAUUUUACUAUUAUGUGUCGUAUUUUUUUAUUCCUCUGGAAUACAUUGUUGCAUUUAAAGAUGAAAUUAUAUGUGAAUUUUGUUACUAUGUAUAUACAUAUCAACCUAUGAAAGAAUUAUUUCACGGGGGAUAUAUUGCAAGGGAUACGUUGGAAAAUAAAUAAUGGAGUUGCCAACUACGAAGAAUGGGAAGGUAUUCAAUCUAUAUUUAAGAGAUUCGAUUAGUAAAGCUAUAGACUGUCGAUGUUUAUCAGUCAUUCUACAGAUUUUGUUGUAUUCAAUACUUACAGUUUUAAUCGUUUAAAGUAUUUUUUUCUUAUCAAUGAUUUCAAUUAUCUUUCACUCAGAUAUACAAUGUUUACUUUUAAUUGUUAAAUUAAUUAGAACGUUUAUUUAUAAAUAUAUACUUACAAAUGUUAUUAGAUAAGAAUAACAUUUGUAAAUAUUAAAUAUAAAAUAUUAUCUCUUAUUAAUCUGUCAUAAUAAUAAAAGUAGAAGAAUUCUUAAUUGAUAAAAUUUUAAAUUAUUUUAAUGUAAAAUUACUAAUAUUGUAAGUUGGAUAAAAUUUGUAGUAAUUAAUUACAUGUAUACUUCACAGAUGACAUCAAAGGAUAUAAUCUUUUAAAAUGUACAUUCUCAAGAUCACUUUUAAUCUUUUAACGAUAUUUGGAUGCUGGCGACCAUAUUCUUGGUCAUCGUUAUAUAAACGCUUAGUCUACGACAUAUAUACAGGCAUAAUAUUUUUAAUACUAAAUACUUUUAUGCUAUCGCAAUUGAUAGAUAUAAUCAUAACUUUGAGUAAUGCUGAAGAUAUUUCUGAUAAUUUUUUUGUUCUAAUUGCUAUGUGCAUUACUUGCUGUAAAUUAUUUAUUUUGUUGAUAAAUCGUAAAAAUAUUAUUAUGCUAAUUAACAUAUUGAUGGAAAAGCCAUGUAGGCCAUCAAGAUCAAUUGAAAUGAAGAUUUUACAUAAAUUCGAUAACAGCAUACAAAUUAAUACUUGGCGCUAUGUACAGCUGGGAAUAGGAACAAUAUUAUGUGUUUCAUUGGCUUCUUUUCAUAUAAACUUCAGAAAUAAAAAAUUAAUAUACAAAACAUGGGUGCCAUUUGAUUAUUCAUCGACAGUACUUUUUCGUAUAACAUAUAUUCAUCAAGUAAUAAGUUUUAUUGCUGCAAUGUUUGUAAAUAUUGGUUGUGAUACUCUCAUAUGUGGAUUAUUGGUCCAUAUUUGUUGCCAACUAGAGAUUUUAACUUAUCGCUUGAGAAAAAUGAUAUUAUAUUCAAAUGUUAUUCGUGAUUGCGUGUAUCAACAUUAUUAUAUUUUCAGGUUUGCUGUUAUUGUAAAUGCAAAGUUUAAGUGGACUAUUGCUAUACAAUUUAUAAUGAGUACAAUGAUGAUAUGUUUUAGUCUUUAUCAUUUAAGUAAAACAACAUCAAAAUUUAAAUAUAUUGAAACAACACUAUAUAUGUCUUGCAUGUUAACGCAAAUCUUUUUAUACUGUUGGUACGGGAAUGAAGUACGAGUAAAGGUAUGAUAAUUUGUAUACUUAUAAAUGUGUAAUAUAACAUAAAACAGAAAUAUCUAAGUUUUUUAAAUCAAGGAAUACAAAAUUCGAACAUACUAAUAUAUUCAAAUGUAAAACUUGCACAUUUUAAAUGGAGCAUGUUAUUAUUUUUUGAUGGCGUAGCAGGAUUUGCGGUUUUUUCUCAAAUUCUACUGUCAAUCUAUCGUAAAGGUUAUCGGCGCAGAUCCUGCACCAUUUCUAUCAUCAAUUUGCUGGCAUAGCAUAUUAGCAAGUUUUUGUUGACAGACUGUUGACAUUAUAUCAGUAAUGAUAAAGCAAACUGAUCAAACAAAUAACUAUAAAUUGAAAAUAUGAUCGAUUUAUUGCCAAUCUGCUAGUGAAUUGCCAACAGUUUGUUAUUUGGGAUAUAACAGAUAGUUAUAAUUUUAUAUAUACUGUAUUAGAUUUAAUCAAUUUUUAGUUACAAGAUAUUAUUUAUACAAAAUGGUUUCAAAACAUUAUAAAUUGAUAAAAAUUUUAAAAUAUAUUAUAAUAGAUCCUAUUGAUCGCUCUUACUCUUUUGAAUGGAUUUCCAUGAGCAUUAUUACACUUUAAUCCGGAAAUUUAUUGAUGCUAUAUUAUACAAUAAAAGUAUAUAAAUAAUUAAGAUAUAUUAACACACACACACACAUUUAUGUACCCAUUUUUUUCAUACAAAUAUUGUGUAUUUUAUAUUUCAGUAGAGUUAUGAGAUAAUUGAUAAAAUUUUUGAAAUGGAGUGGCUAACAUUGAACAAAAAUAAUAAGAAAUCUCUAAUUAUGAUAAUGAGGCGAGCACUUGUGCCUAUUCAGAUUAACUGUGCUUAUAUUAUUCCUAUAAAUCUUAAUUCUUUCAUGAAUAUACUUAAGAUGUCAUAUUCUACUUUCAACUUACUUCAACAAAUGAGCAAAUGAUCGUAUGAAGAGACGAAUAAAAUUAAUG